AGAACCUUUAACAUUAACCCCGUGAGGUUAAGAAGGUAUGGCGAAUCUUGAGGAGACUCAGGGCUAACUCAAACCUCUUUACCGAACGCGGUAAAGAGGUUUUUUGU
rfam:Lactobacillus buchneri CD034, complete genome.